UUGUACGGAACGAAAAGGUCUUUUCUAAUAAAGAAGGCUCAUGACGGUACCGUAAGAAUAAGCACCGGCUAACUACGUGCCAGCAGCCGCGGUAAUACGUAGGGUGCGAGCGUUAAUCGGAAUUACUGGGCGUAAAGCGUGCGCAGGCGGUUAUAUAAGACAGUUGUGAAAUCCCCGGGCUCAACCUGGGAACUGCAUCUGUGAC
rnacentral:rRNA from 1 species